GACGAACCGUGCAAACGUUAUUCGGAAUCACUGGGCAUAAAGGGCGCGUAGGCGGCUUUCUAAGUCAGGGGUGAAAUCCGGCAGCUCAACUGUCGCAGUGCCUUUGAUACUGGAGAGCUCGAGGGAGGUAGGGGUCUGUGGAACUUCCGGUGGAGCGGUGAAAUGCGUUGAUAUCGGAAGGAACGCCGGUGGCGAAAGCGACGGACUGGAUCUCUUCUGAUGCUGAGGCGCGAAAGCCAGGGGAGCAAACGGG
rnacentral:rRNA from 1 species